CCUACGGGAGGCAGCAGUGGGGAAUAUUGCGCAAUGAGCGAAAGCCUGACGCAGCGACGCCGCGUGAGGGAUGAAGGUCUUCGGAUCGUAAACCUCUGUCAGCAGGGAAGAACGGUCACUGUGCUAAUCAGCAGCGAAUUGACGGUACCUGCAAAGGAAGCACCGGCUAACUCCGUGCCAGCAGCCGCGGUAAUACGGAGGGUGCGAGCGUUAAUCGGAAUUACUGGGCGUAAAGCGCUCGUAGGCGGUAUGUCAAAUCAGGGGUGAAAUCCCCGCGCUCAACGUGGGAACUGCCUUUGAAACUAGCAAACUAGAGUGUGUGAGAGGAUAGUGGAAUUCCAGGUGUAGGAGUGAAAUCUGUAGAUAUAUGGAGGAACAUCAGUGGCGAAGGCGACUAUCUGGCACAUAACUGACGCUGAGGAGCGAAAGCGUGGGUAGCAAACAGGAUUAGAUACCCGUGUAGUC
rnacentral:rRNA from 1 species